rnacentral:rRNA from 1 species
GAUGAACGCUGGCGGCGUGCUUAACACAUGCAAGUCGAACGGAAAGGCUCCUGCUUGCAGAGGUACUCGAGUGGCGAACGGGUGAGUAACACGUGGGUGAUCUGCCCUGCACUUCGGGAUAAGCCUGGGAAACUGGGUCUAAUACCGGAUAGGACGAUGGUUUGGAUGCCAUUGUGGAAAGGUUUUUCGGUGUGGGAUGAGCUCGCGGCCUAUCAGCUUGUUGGUGGGGUAAUGGCCUACCAAGGCGUCGACGGGUAGCCGGCCUGAGAGGGUGUACGGCCACAUUGGGACUGAGAUACGGCCCAGACUCCUACGGGAGGCAGCAGUGGGGAAUAUUGCACAAUGGGCGCAAGCCUGAUGCAGCGACGCCGCGUGGGGGAUGACGGCCUUCGGGUUGUAAACUCCUUUCGCUAGGGACGAAGCGCAAGUGACGGUACCUGGAGAAGAAGCACCGGCUAACUACGUG